CUGUGCCUAGGGCUGGGCAGGCGCUGGGCUGGGGCUGGGGGGAGCCAGGCGAGGAGUGGCUCCUGGAGAGGGAGUGGGAGGGCCCUGGGACAGAGGGCAACCUGGUCCUUGGGGAGUGAAGGAAGGGGUGCGCUGCAGGCCCCAGAGCGGAGCCUCUGCCACACAGGCACCUUCCAGGCUGGGGUGCAGCUCACUGUGUCCUCCUGCGGGACACAGGGCAUGCUGGACAGUCCCCAAGGGCGACAGCCCCAUGGCUCUCACAGACACAGGCGCCCCAUUGCCCAGAGCACAGAUGGGCCCAAAGAGGGUCCAUGAGCCUGAACCCCAAGCCCACCCUGGCCACCAGGCUGUGUCUCAGCCUUCCUGCUCCCCUGGGCAAGAACAGCACACACAGAGGCUGGGGGCAGCAGGCCUGUCCUCACCUCACCCUCCACGGCAGCUGGGGUGCCGCCACUGGAGGAGGGGCCAGACGUCCCAGGAGGAGCCCCACCCCAAGGGGCAGAGGUGGAAGAGGGCAGGGCGUUCAGGGACGGCUAGGGGCCUCGAGGUGUGGCCUCUGUCCCCGCCCUGGGCCUUGGCCCCAGGCCUUGGGCAGCAGAUCUGGUGCGACCCCGCCCCACUGCUGGGCAUUGGCCAGCUGCCCGAUCCCGCUGCACUGCAACUCCUUACGCAAACAGCCUGGGAGGCGCCACACCUGAGUGAGGCCUGGCCUGGAAGGAGCCUGGGGCCUUGUUCCUCCCUCUCUGCUGCCCGGAACUGGGAGUGAACCCCCUGCUGGCAUCAGGAGCUCAGGGAGGUUCCCCCAACUCUCCCCUUCCCCUGACUCCCCAUCUGGCCUUCCAUGGACACUUCCGGGACGGAGCUCAGGACAGACCCACACGUGCCCUCCCCUGGCCUGCCAAGGAGCUUGUACGAGGAUCGAACUCAGGACCUUGCGCUUGUGAGGCAGGCACAGUGCCACUGAUCUACAUCCUCGGCCCCCUAUUAGUAUUACUUUUUGCAGAGCUGGGUUGGAGCUCAGAGCUGUAUGCACUAGGCAUGUGCUCUGCCACUGAGCUACACCCCCAGGACCCUCUCUUUAUUUUUAUUUUUUGGGGGGUACCAGGGAUCGAACUCGGAUCCUUGCACUUUCGAGGCAGGCAGCGGAAC
ensembl:lncRNA